rnacentral:rRNA from 1 species
AUGUUAAGAGGGAAUUCGAGUUCGACCAUCACCUCCUGGCCUCCAACUGAAUCAUUGUCUGCUUCGAUGGCUGUAAUUUCCACCGUUUUGUUUUCAGAGAGGGAACAGAAUUCUAUCAAAGACUUCUCUACCAAUAAUUGCAGCAAAAUUCUCUCUUUGUGUGUUUCUUACUUCACACCUGUGUAUGUGAUGAAGUUGAAAGAUUUCUUUCCAAAUAAAGAGCUCAGAGAGGCUCCAUAUUUUGAUGGGCGAGUUGUAUGCUAUCCAAAUAUGAAGACGAUUCAUGAUUAUUUGGCAUGGAGGCAACUGGACCGUAAGCUUCUUGAACUACAGUCAACAGUUUCCUAG